AGCUGUGGAUAGUCUAACAUGAGACAAGAACCGUAGUUGGGACUGAAGAAUUAAGUCAAAGCCAAAAGACAAACUAGGAGCAAGAAGCAAGACAAGAGACAGGACUAAAGAGCAAGAUAGGAUCAAAGGACAGUGAAACAGGCAAGAAUUCAGGGAGCAUUUGUUGCUGAAGCAAGACACCUACCCGGGCAGGCCAGUGCGGGUAUCCCUUCAUCUUGGCGAAGAUGAGGUCUCCGGCCUUGAAGCCGUGCAGCAUCUCAGCAGGCGGCAAGUGCUGCAGACUACAAGGCUUGGUCUACUGUCUUGGAUGGAUAACUAUGAUCUAAUAUGCUUCUUUAAGGAGUCCAGUGAUUGUUAGUGCACUGGCCAGGAUUUGGCAUGUAAUGCAGUGACCUUGAUUGGAUCUCCCAAUUAACAGUUUGAAAAAAAAAGUGGGACAUGAUUGAGGCUUAAAAAAUGAACAAUGGACAGAGAGAAAUUUUCCAUUCUCUCUGCUGAUAUCAGAACUUGAGCUGACCCAAAGAAGUUGAUUGGCAUGGUAGCAGAUUAAAACCAGACAAAAUAAGUUUAUUAUAUACCCUGCCCUGAUACUACAUUCUGAUGAAGACACAUGGCGUUCACUACCAUAGCCCAUGAUAUGGAACUUGUCACAAGUAAUCAUACCUGCUGCCAAACUCCAAAUGGAACAAUAUUAAUAUUGGUUAGCUUUACAUCACUCUGGUCAAGGUACCAGAACACAGGCCGUUCUGUCUUUCCAACAUAAAUGGGCACAUCUGGCCUCCGCUCAGCAAGUUUCUUCAGUGUAGGGUAACUAGAGAGUAAGAAAAAGAGAACAAGAAAAAGCUUGACUAGGUAAAAACAAUUACUAGCCUAAUCCUCAAGUCCCUCUACUGGUGUGUGAACUAUGGCUGUAUACAUGCCCUACAUUUAAAGCACAUAACUUUCCCCCAAAGAAUCCAGGGAUCUAUAGUUUACUCUCCACGGAGCUACAAUUCCCAGCAGCCUUACCAAACUACUGUGCACAGCAUUCUUUGGGAUGGCCACAUGCUUUAAAUAUGCUUUAAAUGCAUGGUGUGUAUGCAGCUUAUAUCUAGCAAAAGGCACUCAAAUGCAGGGAAUCAGGAUUCCAGAAGAGAGAGUAUGGGAGGCAGAGACCACCUCAAGGCUGCUUCAGCUGGACUAGCCCCUUCCCUGCCUCUCCCUAGGAUAAAGUACUAUCAAAUGCCCCAUGGGAUGGAUCCUGAUGUGUUUCUAAUAUGCUAAUAUUAAGUUGGUGACCCUGAGAGGUGGGAUACAGAUGCACCUCUUUACCCUUGCCUUUGACACCCUAUUUUGUGAUUUUAGGUUGUUUUUAAUACUGUAUUUUAAAAUUGUUUUAACACACUCUGGGACCUUUGGGUGAAGGGUGUGUAAUUAAUAAUAAUAGUAAUAAUAAUAAAUUGCAAUAAAAUAAUCAACUUUCAAA